rnacentral:tRNA from 1 species
UCGGGGAUCGUCUAACGGCAGGACGGCAGAUUCUGGAUCUGUCUAUCGAGGUUCGAGUCCUCGUCCCCGAGCCA